CCCUGAAUAUUUUCAGUAAAAAUCGUGAUUUUCAGCGUUGAAAUUGAAAAAAAUAAAUUUAUAUUAGGAAUGUUGAGGUCACUAUUCAGCUAAAAAUAAAUUAGAAUUUUAAAAUUUCCAUAAUUUUUCAAUUCCUAUAACGUGUUUUCCUGUCAUUCGACUAAAAAGAGUUGUUACUCUUUGUCCUUAAGCAAGUUUCAUUUUACUGUUGACGGACCGUGAAAAAAUUGAUGCAAAUUUUUAAGGUUUAAUUAUUAUUCAAAUUGAAGGAUAUAUUUAAUAUAUUUACUACAUUUCUCUCCGUACGAUAGUACUUCGAAGCUCACAUCACAGUUGAAUUUUUUCCCAUAAUCGGAAAGUUAGGCACAUAUUAAUUCAUCAUAUCAAGAAAUGUAUGAAAUUCAUAAAUGUCAAAUAUCAUCUAUCGGAAAGUCUCAUUUUAAAUAAAAAAAGCUACUUCAGGGGUAAGCUUCUAAGCAAUUGGUUCAGAAGAGUUUCUAUUUGAAGUAUAUGAUCCAUUUGUCAAGUUUACAUAAUGGAUUUCAGAUUAAAUUACAUGCAAACUCACAGAAUGGGAAACAUACUUAAUCUUGGUGUAUGAACAUUUCUAGAUAACAAACGGUUCUUGGGGGCACAUAUAAAUUUAUCAGAUCAAGAAAUGUAUAAUAUCAUCUCUCGGACAGUGUUAUUUGGUAAAAAAAAUGUUCUUCAGAGUAAGUUUCUUAAGCAGUUCGUUCAGGAGAGUUUCUAUGUGAAGCAAAUGAUCUAUUUCGAUUCUUUUCAACUGAACACAACAGAUUUCUGACAACUUUCAAGCAAUUGGGUAGUGUACGGAGAUGAUUUUCUUAGGCUAGAUCUAUGGAAAAAUAUGUUUUGAGAUAAGUUAUUCAGUUGGAAUGAUAUAAUGAUUAUUGAAACACAAUCUAUGAGUGAGUUUUUGCGUUAAAAUUCUAUAUUUAUAGACAUUUGUCAGGUUCUCCCAUUUGGGGUAAGAUUUUUGCUAUUAUCGUAGAGAGAGGGACCCUGUAGGUUUUUGUUCAAAAUAAACAGAAUUAAACGUUAUAAUGCUUGAAA